GACUAGAGGCAAAGGGACAUGUUUAUUGAUGGAGGCAGUGGAGGAAGGACUGGAGAUUGGAAAGGAAAGAGACCAAAACUUCCUGGAGAAAUGUUUCUGUGUCAAAACUAGAUCCAGAGAUUUCCUAAGGGAAGCAGAUGCAGGGAAGGCAAGGAGGACCAAGGUUGAGGCAACACUGAGUUGGAAUCAGACAGUUUUUGAAAAUCCCAAUCAAAUACCAGUGCAUUGUGGUGGUGGUCAAUUUUUUUUUUCAAUUUUAAAUUACAAGGUGAACGUGAGAGUUUCUGAGGUUCAGUAUAUCAGACUCUAAAAGAGGCAAUGAAGAAGCAACGCUAGACCUCCUGCUUUCCUCUCUGAAGAGAUGUCAUCCUGGGGGACCAGCUACACCAGCAACUCCUCUCUGAGCUGGUUUCUCAUUACUUACUUCCUGCAAGCUCCCUGAAUCACUGGUUUCACAUGAUAGGCAAGAAGAUCUCACAAGCCAGGCCAAAAUUCCUCAUGGCAAAAUGAGCCGGAAGCCACAGUGGCUGUCUCCUUUCCAUGGGCUGUGCACCUUCUAGGCUCGACUCAUUCUCUCAUCUGGCUACCUGUCUGCCCGGGCAGGGAUUUUAGCCUGUGACUCUCAGUUUCCUUACAUCCUUCAUUGCAUAAAGAGGAGUUCUUGAACAGGCCUGUUUCACUUCCAAGAAUCCAUUCUGUGAUGGAAACAGUGGGGGUUAGAAGAUCCAGUGCCAGGAGAGAGACUCCAAGGGAGAUGCAAGGCGUGGUUCUCGAAAAGUUGCAGACAUUCACAAGAACUAAAAGGACAUCUGACCCACUCGUCUGCCACAUCUGACCCAGAAAGAUGAGUUUAUAUCCUUUUUCUCUCAAGUAAUACAGAGAAGGAUUUAUAUGAGAUCCCUUGGUAACGUCUUCUACAUUAUUUCCUUGUGUAUUUAUUUAUUAAGCAUUUACUAGGUCCAUGAGAGAGGUCUUGCCCUUCCCAGGUUGAGUCAAGAGAAAUUAAUAGCUGGUAGGAUCACAUCUCUUAGGAUCUGAGAUUUAUCUAUCAUCCAUCAACUCUUUCCCCUUUAAUCUGGUUAGAGGGGUCCUGGAGAAUAGCAUCUCAAGGAAACUCCAAGGACAGACAGACCCUAGAGGAAGUGGGAAAAAGUGAAGUUGGCAAAGUGUCUUAACAUAUAGCCGCCUUCUCUUGUAUGUACUCCACCCCUCCCCCCAUAGGUCCUCCCUGCCUCCAACUAGAGUAUGAACUCAAAAGAAACUUUGUUUUGCUCAUCAGUCUACCCCCAAAACAAGAAAGGAGCUUGCCACAUGGUAGAUGUUCAACACAUGCUUCAGGAAUGAAUAAUCACCUUCAGCCUAUCACUUCAUGCUCUCAUAAGGAUAAUUGAAAUUUAUUAAUUGUAUGUAAAGUUUUACACAAAAUAUAGCUUCAAGACAAUCACUGAAUCCUUCCUCACUUUCUAAUAUACCUUUCAAAUUGUCUUUGUGCUAAAUAUCCUCUUACAGAGAAAUUUAGAGCCACCAUUGUUCAGGAUCAUUUAAUCCCACUGAUGCACGAAUCUCCCUUACAGGCCAUCCUGCCAGUAAUCAUUCGGCCCUUGCUUGAAUACCUCUAGAAACAGAGAGCUCAUUUUCUCCUAGAGCAGCCAUCCUGUACAGCUGUGGCUAUUAGAAUACUCAUGCUUAAAUUUAGCUAAUAUCUUUUUUUCUACAGCCUUUACCCGUCUUAGUUGUCAGAAGCAUAUUAAUCUUUCCUUCCACUGGGCAACCCUUCAGGUAUUUUGAGACAUUAACAUGUCCCUCCUAAACUUUCUCUUCUGUUUAUGAAAUAUCCCUUGUUCCUUUCUGUACCUAGAAACGUAUGACACAAAAUCCAGCUUGGGAGUCUUGGAUAUAUUCACCUCGAGGAGUCAAACACGAACAACAGGAAUGGACCAGCAGGGUGUCUAUUUAGGGGGAAGAUGAAAGAGCUUCAUAGGGAAAUAAUUUGAAGCCUCACAGGAGUAUAAAGUGCUGGAAAUUAAAUGGUCGUAGAGAUCAUCCAGUGAGUCCAAAUAUUUCAUUUACAGAUGAGGAAAGUAUGGCUCAGAGAGGUCAGAUGGCAUACCCAAGAUCACAUGGUGAAUUGGUGCAAGACACUGGAAGGUCAGCUGUGUCCAGGUAGCGAGGCAAGGUCACAAGUGUCCCCCAUCUUCUUACUUACAGCCAGGAUGGAAGAGCAGCUUUCUGCUGGGACAUGUUGCUUCAUCAAGGUAUGUACUUGCAGAGAGAUGGAAAGAUUGGCCUUUCAUCAAACUGAUCAGAAUACUUUCAGCAUGUCGGCCAGUGAUUCAAAAGCAGGCAUUUUUUCGACUAAGCUACCAGACGAAUAGACUAGAGAGAGAUCCUCUCUCUUGCUGCAUUAAAACCACCAGGACAGGGGCGCUUAGGUGGUCCAGUUGGAUAAGCGUCGGACUCUUGAUUUGGCUCAGGUCAUGAUCUCAGUCAGGGGCAUGAGAUCCAGCCCCACAUCAGACUCCAAGCUCAGCAUGGAGCCCGCUAAAGAGUCUCUCUCUCCUUCUCCUUCUCCCACUCCCCCAACACCUCCCCACUGUCUCUCCCUCUUGAAAAAGACAACCCCCCUGGAGAAAUUUUAAAAAUCAUUCCUGCUCUGAUUUUUGAUUUGCUAGAUAGACUGUCGGAGACAAGCAUGUAAAUAGCAGAAAGAGCAAAGGCAGUGUCCCUAUUGAGAGGCAGGUCUGGGAGAGACAGAAUGGCCUCAGCCUAGCCACAGGUAGCAAACAUUCCUGAGCUGGCGCACAUCCAUCCGUCCAGAUGCUGUGGGUAGAAACCAGGCCUAACAAUGGAAUCCCCUAUAGGAGGAAGAGGAAGAAAGGGCAGGCUCAGAAAAUUAGAUAAAAAUUGGAAUGGGCUUAAGUCAGACAAUGGGUGGCAUGGUUUCUCUGUUCCAGCUAAGCCCAGACUUUAGUGGGAAAGAUACGCCUCCCACCUAAGUAGUUACAUUACCUCUUGGAGAGCCUCUGGAACCAUCGAGCUGCAGUCCACACUCCGGGUGCUGCCUGGCUCGCCCUGACCCUUGGUCGUGAUGCCACUGCGCUACUGCUGUGCUUGUCCGCGCCUCCCUCCGCUCCAGAAAUCAGAUGUCCCCCCAAAAAUCCAAGUUCAUGCAGGACUCUUUCAUGGACAAAUAAGCUUUCUCCUAUUUAUUGACACAAGAGUCACUUGGUUGUCUUUUAAAAAUACAUGUGUUAUUUAUAAUACAACUGUUGUUCUUUAUUACAAACAAAUUUCCUUAGGAAAAUAACUCCUCUUGAUGCUGUAAUACACAUAUUAUUGAAUAACUGACAUGUAUGGUCCAUAGUACAAUGAAGAAUCAUCUGCCCAAUAAAAAAAGCAUGUGAUCAGGGAAGUGGUCAAAUGAAUAAUUUUUUUUUUCUCUCCAACACUACAUAUCUAAUGGUUACAUUUGUAAAGCUUAUUCCUGAAGUAUACAAUUUUGAAAAUAAUGACCAGCAGAAAAAUUUCAGGAGUAAUGUUUUAAAUCAUUUUUGGGGAAUCCAUUAUUGCCAGACUUCUGAAAGGAAAAAUCUAAAUUGUGAGCUUCAAUAUUUUCCAGUUGUUUAUUUACCAAGGCCUGGAGAAUUUGGGAACCUGGAAUCAUAUCACAGUUGGAAUCCAUGGCAAUUGUAUGUUCGUGUUCUUAAGAUGCCUCCCAAGCAUCUGUUGGAUAUUGGUAUAUUCUGAAAAAUUCUGUUGUGUUUCUUAUGAUAUUACUGAUACCAGUUGGUGAUUUUCUUACUUACUGAAUGAUUAUUUUGCUCUGUUCAUAUAUUUUUUAUUCUCUUCUGGGAGAUGUAUAUGGCAAUAUGAAAAAGUAAGCUACCAAUUUUCCACAGUGGCUGUAUUUUCCUGCCAUUCUAGAAAUUUUCUG